rnacentral:lncRNA from 1 species
AUUUUUUAAAGUUUUAUUGAAGCACAUUGGUUUACAAUGUUGUGAUCAUUUCUGCUGUACUACAAAGUGAUUCAGGUAUACAAAUACACACAUGCAUUCUUUUCCCAUGUGGAUGAUCACAGAAUAUUAGAUAGGUUCCCUUCUUACCUCAUAGAAAUAAGUAUAACUAAAAUUUGGCAAAAGCCUGCACAUUCUUCUGGCUAUUGGGAUGAGUGCAACAGAAAAGGUAACUUUCCAUUUCAUCUCAAGAAAGUGGAUAACUCAUCUUGUUUACCCUGCAACCCUGCCUUGCACACAGACAUCUGUAGUUAUAUUUGCCGUUGUAAAAUUAAUAGCCCGUGUGGUUCCCAGAAAGGGAACUUGGAAAGGGAACUUCCCACCACACACUGUAUAGUUGGAAACAGCUGGCCCCAAGGCCUGGGGAAGAUGCUGACUGCUGCUGAAGCAUUUUCCAUGGGUCAUUGCCAUCCUUUGAGCACCAGACCAGCCCACCAGCUCUUCAUGACGUGAUUAAAAACCCCCGAACAGGUGGUUGCUGCUCCACUUCAUUUCUUCAUCCAAAACAUUUCCUGAAGAUCAUAUCAAUGAGCACCACAUAAAGGCAAACACAAAAGUUCCAGAUCUGGAGUUUCCAUCGUGGCUCAGUGGAAACAAAUCUGACUAGUGUCCAUGAGGUUGCAGGUUCAAUGCCUGGCCUUGCUCAGUGGGUUAAGGAUCCAGCAUUGCCGAGAGCUGUGGUGCAGGUCACAGAAGUGGCUCGAAUUUGGCAUUGUUGUGGCUGAGGUGUAGGCCCACAGCUGUAGCUCCGAUUUGACCCCUGACCUGGGAACGUCCACAUGCCACAAGUGUGGCCCUAAAAAGACCAAAAAAAAAAAGUUCCAGAUCCAAAACAAGGACAUCCAGGAGUUCCCGUAGUGGCAUAUCGGAAAUGAAUCCGACUAGGAACCAUGGGGUUGCGGGUUCAAUCCCUGGCCUUGCUCAGUGGGCUACGGAUGCAGCAUUGCUGAGAGCUGUGGUGUAGACGGCAGACGAGGUUCGGAUCCUGCUUUGCUAUGGCUGUGACUUUGCUCACAGAGGUACACAUCCUGACCCCUAGAAACUUACAUGAGAAAAACAAACUAUAGAUGUGAUUAAGCCUACUAACUUUGGGAGUUCCCACUGUGGCUCAAUGGAAACAAACCCAACUAGUAGCCAUGAGGUUGUGGGUUCUAUCCCUGGCCUCGCUCAGUGGGUCAAGGAUCCAGCAUCACCAUGAGCUGUGGUGUAGUCUAUAGAUGCAGCUCGGAACUUGAGUUGCUAUGGCUGUGGUGUAGGCCAGCAGCUGUAGCUCCCAUUCAACCCCUAGCCUGGGAAAUUCCAUAUGCUGAGGGUGCAGCCCUGAAAAAAAAAAAAAAGGCUACUGACCUUCUUCUGCAGUUCAAUACCAAAAAAACAAACAAUCCUAUCAAAAAAUGGGCAGAAGAUCUAAAGAGACAGUUCUCCAGAGAAGACAUACUGAUGGCCCAAAAACACAUGAAAAGAUGUUCAACAUCACUCAUUAUUAGAGAAAUGCAAAUCAAACCACUAUGAGGUACCACCUUACACCGGCCAGAACGGCCAUCAUCAAAAAAUCUACAAACAGUAAGUGCUGGAGAGGGUGUGGAGAAAAAGGAACCCUAUUACGCUGUUGGGGGGAAUGUAAAUUGGUGCAACCACUAUGGAAAACAGUAUGGAGAUGCCUCAGAAAACUAAAAAUAGAACUGCCAUUUGAUCCAGCAAUCCCACUCCUGGGCAUCUAACCAGAGAAAACCAUGGUUUGAAAAGACACAUGUACUCCAAUGUUCAUUGCAGCACCCUAUACAAUAGCCAAGACAUGGAAACAACAUAAAUGACCAUCAACAGAGGAGUGGCUCAAGAUGUGGUACAUAAACACAAUGGAAUAUUACUCAGCCAUUUAAAGGAAAGAAAUAAUGGCAUUUGCAACAACAUGGAUAGACCUGGAAAUUAUCAUGCUAAGAGAGUCAGUGAGACACCAACAUCAAAUGCUAUCACUGACAUGUGGAAUCUAAAAAAAGGACACAAUGAACCUCUCUGCAGAACAGAUACUGACUCACGGACUUUGAAAAACUUAUGGUUUCCAAAUGAGACAGGUUCCGGCGGGAGAAUGCACUGGGGUUUGGGAUGGAAAUGCUAUAAAAUUUGGUUGUGAUGAUCGCUGUACAACUAUAAAUGUAAUAAGAUACAUUGAGUAAUAAAAGAAAAAAGAAAAAAAAAAAAAAAAAGGCUACUGACCUUGACACAGGAGACUAUUCUACAUCACUGGGAGAUGCAGUCUAAUUAAAUGUGUCCUUAAAACUGGAGAGCCUUUCCCAACAGUGAUCAGAGAGAAAGGCAGAAGGUUUGAAGAGAUUCCAUGUGAGGACUCAACCCGAUGCUGCUGGCUUUGAGGAUGGAGGGGUGGGGGCACAAGCCAAGGAAUGUAAUGGCCUUGAGAAGCUGGGAACAGCUUUCAGUUUAUAACUAACAACAAAAUGAGGACCUCAUUCCCACAGAUGCAAGAAACUGAAUUCUACCAACAACCCAAACAAGUAGGAAACUUCUUCUCUAGAAACUCUGGAAAGGAAUACAGGGUGGAGACUCUUUGAUUUUAGCCC